GCGAACGGGUGAGUAACACGUGGGCAAUCUGCCCUGCACUCUGGGACAAGCCCUGGAAACGGGGUCUAAUACCGGAUAUUGACCACCGCAGGCAUCUGUGGUGGUGGAAAGCUCCGGCGGUGCAGGAUGAGCCCGCGGCCUAUCAGCUAGUUGGUGAGGUAAUGGCUCACCAAGGCGACGACGGGUAGCCGGCCUGAGAGGGCGACCGGCCACACUGGGACUGAGACACGGCCCAGACUCCUACGGGAGGCAGCAGUGGGGAAUAUUGCACAAUGGGCGAAAGCCUGAUGCAGCGACGCCGCGUGAGGGAUGACGGCCUUCGGGUUGUAAACCUCUUUCAGCAGGGAAGAAGCGAAAGUGACGGUACCUGCAGAAGAAGCGCCGGCUAACUACGUGCCAGCAGCCGCGGUAAUACGUAGGGCGCGAGCGUUGUCCGGAAUUAUUGGGCGUAAAGAGCUCGUAGGCGGCUUGUCACGUCGGUUGUGAAAGCCCGGGGCUUAACCCCGGGUCUGCAGUCGAUACGGGCAGGCUAGAGUUCGGUAGGGGAGAUCGGAA
rnacentral:rRNA from 1 species